CCGAGUUUACAACUCCAAACCCCUGUGAACAUACCUAUAUGUUGCCUCGGCGGAUCAGCCCGCGCCCCGUAAAACGGGACGGCCCGCCGCAGGAUCCACAAACUCUGUUUUUAUUGUAACUUCUGAGUAACAAAACAAAUAAAUCA
rnacentral:misc_RNA from 1 species